rnacentral:tRNA from 1 species
GGCGCGAUGGCCGAGUGGUCUAAGGCGCUGGAAUUAGGCUGCUGCAAGCAAUCCAGUCUUAACGGGCGGGGGUUCGAAUCCCCCUCGCGUCA